UGGCGGCGUGCCUAACCAUGCAAGUCGAACGGAGAAUCAUCAAUGAUUCUUAGUGGCGAACGGGUGAGUAACGCGUAGACAACCUGCCUUCUAGAUGGGGACAACACUGCGAAAGUGGUGCUAAUACCGAAUGUUGUAAUGAGCCUGCAUGGGCUUGAUACUAAAGGUGGCCUCUAUAUAUAAGCUAYCACUAGAANAUGGGUCUGCGUCUGAUUAGCUAGUUGGUGAGGUAAUGGCUCACCARGGCGAUGAUCAGUAGCCGGUCUGAGAGGAUGAACGGCCACACUGGGACUGASACACGGCCCASACUCCUACGGGAGGCARCAGUGGGGAAUCUUCCRCAAUGGACGAAAGUCUGACRGARCAACSCCGCGUGAGUGAAGAASGUUUUCRGAUCGWAAAGCUCUGUCUUUGARGACRAAUGUGUWUAAUGURAAUAAUGUUAAAUAAUSACGGU
rnacentral:rRNA from 1 species